GACGAACGCUGGCGGCGUGCCUAAUACAUGCAAGUCGAACGAAGUGGCGAACGGGUGAGUAACGCGUAAUCAACCUGCCCUUCAGAGGGGGACACCAGUUGGAAACGACUGCUAAUACCGCAUACUGAAGGAGGGGAUUGCGUCUUAUUAGCUAGGUGGAGGGGUAACGGCCCACCAAGGCGAUGCUCAGUAGCCGGUCUGGGAGGAUGAACGGCCAAAUUGGGACGGAGACAAGGCCCAGACUCCUACGGGAGGCAGCAGGGGGGAAUCUUCCGAAAUGGACGAAAGUCUGACGGAGCAACGCCACGUGAGUGAUGACGGCCUUCGGGUUGUAAAGCUCUGUUAAUCGGGACGCGGUACCGGAAUAGAAAGCCACGGCUAACUACGUGCCAGCAGCCGCGGUAAUAC
rnacentral:rRNA from 1 species